GAUGAACGCUGGCGGCGUGCCUAAUACAUGCAAGUCGAGCGAACAGACGAGGAGCUUGCUCCUCUGACGUUAGCGGCGGACGGGUGAGUAACACGUGGAUAACCUACCUAUAAGACUGGGAUAACUUCGGGAAACGGGAGUUAAUACGGGAUAAUAUAUUAAACCGCAGGGUUCAAUAGUGAAAGACGGUUUUGCUGUAACUAAUAGAUGAUUCCGCGCCGCAUUAGCUAGUUGGUAAGGUAACGGCUUACCAAGGCAACGAUGCGUAGCCGACCUGAGAGGGUGAUCGGCCACACUGGAACUGAGACACGGUCCAGACUCCUACGGGAGGCAGCAGUAGGGAAUCUUCCGCAAUGGGCGAAAGCCUGACGGAGCAACGCCGCGUGAGUGAUGAAGGUCUUCGGAUCGUAAAACUCUGUUAUUAGGGAAGAACAAAUGUGUAAGUAACUAUGCACGUCUUGACGGUACCUAAUCAGAAAGCCACGGCUAACUACGUG
rnacentral:rRNA from 1 species